AUGUCUGUGUUAUGGUAGAUGUUUGUGAUUGGUCGUGCUGUGCAAACCCCGCCUCUUUAAUGUGAAGGCGUGCAUCGCUGGUUUGGGAAACCCACGGUUGAUUGAACUUGUUACUAACCCCCGUCGUGACACAGCUUAUGU